GAUAUUAUUUGACUUGUGGCGCUUCUUCAAAUGCCUAUACUAAGGCCUAAAAAAGUGCUGAGGACUGAAUUCAAAACUCCCGUCAAAGAUUUUUAAAUAUUUACAAUUACAGAUAAGUGCCUGUAAGUCGUUUAAUUUACGUCUAGGCACUGAUUUCAGCACUGAUUGGCUGAACAGCGCCUAUAGGCCUGAUGACGCACUGUACAUUGACGAAGUUCGCGGGAAGAAAAAUAUCAAACAACAACAAAAAAAGCUAUUUAGGAUGUAUUUUUCUAGAAUGACCAAUAAAUAUUUUAACAGAUAUUUACAUGACAAUAUAAACUUUGAAAAAGUUAAAAUCAAUGCCAUUGUACGUGCUUAUCUUGACCCUGGUAUUUUAGACUUGAUUUAGCUUAAACAUGCAUUAAUUACAACAUUUAUGCAGACUCUAGUCUAGACUAUAGGCCUAAUUUAAAUCGUGGUAUUAUAAAAUAAAAACGUUAUUAAAAAUCAAAUAUAGGCUACUGUAUAGUGUGUUGUCUAACACAACAAUUAAUGAACUUAAACUUACACCGUUUAUUCAGGAUUUCGCCUUUAUGAAGCAAGACGAAUGUUAUCAAGCGAACAAUCUCGGAUAAAAUGAAAUCAAAAUCAUUACAUUUAUGAUAAAAAUCUAAAAUAAUCACAUAAUUUUGUCUCGUCUAAUUGUGGCAGACAUUAGAGACGCCUUUAUAGUAUUUUCUGCCAAGUUCUAGAAGGCACUGAAUGCCAAGGCAACUGUGCCAAGGCUUUUGGAGGCAGAGUGGCAAAGACGAGGCCAAAACUGCAGUGUGUAAAGGACAACGGAGCGAACUACAGGGACUGAACUCUUCGAAACAAAUUAUAAUUUGGGUUUUAUUGUGCAUUUUCAGCUCGUUUUUAAAUGUGGCAGAAGUCACGGGACCAAAUCAGACAGAUUGGGUGUAGAUUAAUGAAGAGCGGUGCUUUACGCCGGUUCUAAUGAGUGCGGUGCACUGAAGACAGAGGCCUUGAUAAGACGAGAGGCAGUUGUGAGAAUAAAGAGGAGUGAAAGGAGACA
ensembl:lncRNA